GUUUAGGGUUCCUCAUUUACUGUUGUUCUUGGUGAGAUUUUGUUGUAUAAAUCAUGUUUUCUGGUUUGUACAGUAGGAUGUAGAUUUUAUUUUACACUGUACUUUAGAUUUUAGUCUUCAGCCUUCUUGUAUUUAUGUACGAGGAGCGGCAACAUCCUUCUUAAAGGUGCAUUCCAGUGUUCUGAUAGGUGCUACUUGAUGACAAAAACUGACACUUGUAUUUACUUUUUUAUUUAGAUUCAGUAUGUACUCAUGCUAUCUUUUCAUUAAAAAAAAAAA
rnacentral:misc_RNA from 1 species